CCCAGACUCCUACGGGAGGCAGCAGUGGGGAAUAUUGCACAAUGGGGGAAACCCUGAUGCAGCGACGCCGCGUGAGCGAAGAAGUACCUCGGUAUGUAAAGCUCUAUCAGCAGGGAAGAAGAUGACGGUACCUGACCAAGAAGCUCCGGCUAAAUACGUGCCAGCAGCCGCGGUAAUACGUAUGGAGCAAGCGUUAUCCGGAUUUACUGGGUGUAAAGGGAGCGCAGGCGGCCUUGCAAGUCUGGAGUGAAAGGCGGGGGCUCAACCCCCGGACUGCUCUGGAAACUGUACGGCUGGAGUGCAGGAGAGGUAAGUGGAAUUCCUAGUGUAGCGGUGAAAUGCGUAGAUAUUAGGAGGAACACCAGUGGCGAAGGCGGCUUACUGGACUGUAACUGACGUUGAGGCUCGAAAGCGUGGGGAGCAAACAGGAUUAGAUACCCGAG
rnacentral:rRNA from 1 species